GGGCCCAUAGCUUAGCCUGGUAGAGCACUGGUCUUAUACACCAGCGGUCUUGAGUUCAAAUCUCGAUGGGCCCA
rnacentral:tRNA from 1 species